CCUACGGGAGGCAGCAGUAGGGAAUCUUCCACAAUGGACGAAAGUCUGAUGGAGCAACGCCGCGUGAGUGAUGAAGGUCUUCGGAUCGUAAAGCUCUGUUAUUAGGGAAGAACAUGUGCGCAAGUAACUGUGCGCAUCUUGACGGUACCUAAUCAGAAAGCCACGGCUAACUACGUGCCAGCAGCCGCGGUAAU
rnacentral:rRNA from 1 species